AUUGAACGCUGGCGGCAUGCUUUACACAUGCAAGUCGAACGGCAGCGCGGGCUUCGGCCUGGCGGCGAGUGGCGAACGGGUGAGUAAUACAUCGGAACGUGCCCAGUAGUGGGGGAUAGCUCGGCGAAAGCCGGAUUAAUACCGCAUACGACCUGAGGGUGCAAGCGGGGGAUCUUCGGACCUCGCGCUAUUGGAGCGGCCGAUGGCAGAUUAGCUAGUUGGUGGGGUAAAGGCCUACCAAGGCGACGAUCUGUAGCUGGUCUGAGAGGACGACCAGCCACACUGGGACUGAGACACGGCCCAGACUCCUACGGGAGGCAGCAGUGGGGAAUUUUGGACAAUGGGCGAAAGCCUGAUCCAGCAAUGCCGCGUGUGUGAUGAAGGCCUUCGGGUUGUAAAGCACUUUUGGCGGGAACGAAAAGGACUGUGCCAAUACCACGGUUCGAUGACGGUACCCGCAGAAUAAGCACCGGCUAACUACGUG
rnacentral:rRNA from 1 species